rnacentral:rRNA from 1 species
CAAUAGCGUAUAUUUAAGUUGCUGCAGUUAAAAAGCUCGUAGUUGGAUUUCGGGUGGGAAUGGCCGGUCCGCCGUUUCGGUGUGCACUUGCUACGCCCACCUUGCCGCCGGGGACGUGCUCUUGAGUUCACGCUCGGGACACGGAGUCGGCGAGGUUACUUUGAGUAAAUUAGAGUGUUCAAAGCAGGCCUACGCUCUGAAUACAUUAGCAUGGAAUAACACGAUAGGACUCUGGCCUAUCUUGUUGGUCUGUAGGACCGGAGUAAUGAUUAAGAGGGACAGUCGGGGGCAUUCGUAUUUCAUUGUCAGAGGUGAAAUUCUUGGAUUUAUGAAAGACGAACUACUGCGAAAGCAUUUGCCAAGGAUGUUUUCAUUAG